rnacentral:lncRNA from 1 species
ACUAAGCCAAAAGUCAUAAGUUAAAAAUUAAAUACUCUUAAACUUUGAGCGACUCUUAAAUAAAAUAGACUCUCAAACUUUGAAUCCAAGAUUUGAGAGGAUGACGGCCAACGGAAGUGGUGAUGGAGAUGGAGUUAGUAGAAGGUGACGACGAGAUUCUGAUGUUGAACAGAACAUUGGGUUUGCGGUACAGAUGAAAAUGGAGAUGAGGAAGAUAAAGAGAUUAACCACGGAC